AUCAAUUUGUUUAAAGGGGUCUUAGGAUAAGAAUAAAACAAAAUGAAUAUGAAUUGCGACUGGGACGACGGACUUAUACCUGGCGAUUCGGAGAUUAAAUGGGAAUGUAGUGGCACCUUAAUACAUCCCAAAUUUGCCUAUUCACAACAUAAAUAAAGGAACAGAUCUUGAAUUUCACCCAUCGUUGCACAGCCUCAGGAUUUCGGAGUGGCCAACUAUCCAUCAUAUGAUGAACGUGUCAACGAGAGGCGUCAGAGAAGGCUCCUAUCACUGAGUAUAUUUCUCCAGCCUGUUUGCCUUCCAGCGCUAGUGAUGAUCAUAAUCAAUUAAUGACCACUGGUUGGGGUUUCACCCGGAAUGCAGGACAUCCGUCCAUGCAUCUUCUCACAGUGAGCCUGGAACGUUUCACCUAUCCCAUAUGCCAAGAGAGAAUCGAAUAUAAUGUUGAUGUACGCACAAGAUUCUGUAAUGGAGAUUCUGGUGGACCAAUGUUUGUUCAACAUCCGCCUCAAACAGAUUAUAGACAUCUCUUCCUAUGGUUUGCUAUGUGGUGAAAAAGGUUUACCUAGUGUCAUAAUUCAAGUCGAAUUUUGGGACAUUUUCGAAGAGAUUUUGAAUUAAAAUGUUGGGAUUUCCUUAAUGGACACCUAAUCCUUGACAAACUGCGCCGGGUAAAUGCAACACUUAGCUCCUGAGGAUGACUAGAGCCCUUUAACUGUGAUGCUUUACUCUCUGAUAGCCUUAAGUCCUUUCUUCUCGAAAAUAUUUCACUACUGGA